CGCGUAGGCGGUCAGGUAAGUCGGAUGUGAAAUCCCCGGGCUCAACCUGGGAAUUGCAUUCGAUACUGCUUGGCUAGAGUGUGGAAGAGGGAAGCGGAAUUUCCGGUGUAGCGGUGAAAUGCGUAGAUAUCGGAAGGAACACCAGUGGCGAAGGCGGCUUCCUGGUCCAACACUGACGCUGAGGCGCGAAAGCGUGGGGAGCGAACA
rnacentral:rRNA from 1 species